CCUGGGCCUCCCCGAGCGCAGACACACACACUUGAACAACCUCUCCGAGGGACUGCUGUCGCGGAGUCACAGUCACAGAUCCCCUUGUUGACUCGCUCAGUCUCCGGGUCUCCUCCCUCUCCAACUCUCCUCUCAAGGUCGAAGGCGACGGCGUUCAAGGGCCGGCCGGCCGGAGCAACCGCCUCAGAUUGCUAACCCCGGCCUCCUCGUCUCCCUCAAGCCGGCAGCUGCAUUUCUUCCUGAAAUCCCAAGGGAUAUACCAUGGAUUUCGGACAAAAGACAGCGGCGGUAGUGACAUUCAUGAAAUAUGCGGGGGCCAUGAAAGGCUUCAAGGUCGGUGCAGCAGCUGCCGCUGUAGUAGCCGCGACCACGGCCGCCAUAUCGGGGAAAGACACGAACAAAUGCAAUCCCAAGCCAAGAACAAAAUGAUGAUAUAUGCUCAUCGGUUGGUGGAGAAGCUAUCUUCAAGUAUCAUGCUACUUCAUGCGUUGGACAAUGUUACACCCAGAAGUCAUGUUGUUGUGAGCAGGACAGUGGAAUUUUUGAGUAAAACACAUCCAUGGUCAUUAAACUUGGCUCUAAGUUUAGUUUGAUCACUAUCUGGGGUGAAGCUAGAACAAAUAAACCAUUGUUGUUAGCUUUGUUAUUUAGUGCCAUUCUUGUACUUGUAAACAGUGAUGUGAACUAUCUAAUGAAGUGUUUGGCAAAUUA